AGUGCUGUCAAUCAAUCUAUUGCUGCUAAGCUAUUUCUCACUGCUAAGCUAUCGCCACUGUUAAUCUAUCUAUUGCUGCAAGCUAUCUCUCACUGCUAAGUUAUCACUGUCAAUCUAUCUAUUGCUGUCAAUCUAUCUAUUGCUGUCAAUUUAUCUACUAUUGUCAAUCUAUCUAUUGCUGUCAAUCUAUCUAUUGCUGUUAAUCUAUCAUCACUGUCAAUCUAUUUCUCACUGUUAAGCUAUCUCUCACUGCUAAGCUAUCACUGUCAAUCUAUCACUGCUAAUCUAUCACUGUCAAAUUGUCAAUCUAUCUACCACAGUAAAUCUAUCUAUCACUGUCAAUUUAUCUACCACUGUC
rnacentral:sRNA from 1 species